CAGUAGCCGGGUAAUACAGAGGGUGCGAGCGUUAAUCGGAUUUACUGGGCGUAAAGCGUGCGUAGGCGGCUAAUUGAGUCGGAUGUGAAAUCCCCGAGCUUAACUUGGGAAUUGCAUUCGAUACUGGUUAGCUAGAGUGUGGGAGAGGAUGGUAGAAUUCCAGGUGUAGCGGUGAAAUGCGUAGAGAUCUGGAGGAAUACCGAUGGCGAAGGCAGCCAUCUGGCCUAACACUGACGCUGAGGUACGAAAGCAUGGGGAGCAAACAGGAUUAGAUACCCGCGUAGUCCCUGUCUCUUAUCAC
rnacentral:rRNA from 1 species